CUGCAAGUCAUUAGUAACUAAGCGGAACAGCUGUCUUCAGCAAAGCUUGACCUGGAUCCCAGAACUGAAACAGCGGGAGAAACAGAACUCUCACCUUCCUUAACCUGGAUCCCAGAAUUUAAACGGACUGCUUCCCCAACAGCAGGCGAUGGAGUCCCUGAGAUGCCUGCUAAAAAUACAGACCCCUGUUCACAAGGGCCAAGAGGUGGGAGCAACCCAGGUGUGUACGGAUGGAUAAAUGGAUAAGCAAAAUGUGGUCUAGCCAUGCAACGGAAUGUCCUGCAGCCUUGAACAGGAAGGAAAUCUUGACGCGCGCCGCAGCAUGGGGGAGCCGCAAUGAGGACGUUAUGCUAAGCCAGUCACAAGUGCAUGAUUCCACUCAGAGGAAGGACCCAGAGUCGUCAAAUUCAGAGACACAGAGAUGGAGAAAUUGCACUGCAGAGAAAUCUUUAAAAGCAAUUACCUAAUACUGCAGAUUGCUGAACUGUACCCACACCCAAGACUGAGCAUUGGAUCAAUCCAGAAUAUACAUCAGGUGUUCUGCAAUGUCUGCCUAAAACCAUGACUCUGCCUCCUCCAGCUGUUGCUACAUCUCACUAUGGGUUUCCUGUGACAUUUUGAGCAAGUAUGCCUCUGUGACUGGGGUUCUUACACUCCAGAAUGGAUGAGAAGCACCGUAAGUGGCUUUUAAAAUGAAUAUUCCCUGGCCCUUCAGUCGCUCUAUAGGUCAAGAAUCUGAAUUCUCAACCUGUCUAGAAGGUUCUGGUUUUAAUGGUCUGUGGGCUGCACAUUGAGAAACCUGUUCAGCGAGUGCAACAAAGGUUCCACAUGUGAGAAAGGAAGCAUCAGGUCUCUUGAGCCUGUUCUUUAAUCUGUAGGCUGCACCUUCUCUUUAAAUUCUGCUAAUAACACCAUGCGAGAAAACACCCGAGCUUGAAAAGCCCAUGUUCCAACAUAACUGUCCUUCACCACUCUGGAAAAUUAAUGGUUUGUUUCGAUUAUCCCUUUGUUAAACUCCAAAGUCAAAGAGCUCUGAAAGGCAUACGGUUAUUUUAAGUUUCAGGUGAUUUCUGUUGCCAAAUAUUUUAAAAAUUUAAAAUUGCUACGUGACCUCUUAGUAGUACUAUUAGAUUUCCUGACAAUAAAAAUAAGUCUUUUGGUUUCACCAUUUAUAGUUAGUACAGCUAAUAUUAAGUAUAAUUUUAAAAGCCUUUUAUUUUCUCAGAAAGAAAAAAUAAUCAAAAUCUGCUCAGUGUGGUAUUGAAUAAUUAAAAACAAAAGAACAGUAUCUUCACAUUAGUGUUUAAUAUUAAUUGCUUUUUUACCCUUGACACUGGUGCUAAUUAAAUUUUCAUUUUAUUUUCCAUGACUUGUUUAAACAGUUUUUGCAAAUUAUUGCUAAUCAGCCUAAUAAAACUGAAUCACCUAUUAAACAAUUUUGUUUUGAAUUAAAUGGCAUUAAAAUAAUUCUGGCUGCCUUGUGUUAUAAUGUGUUACAAGAAUACCAACCGCUACAGGUAAUAUGCCUUAGCUUUUACACAUGCUUUAAAUAAAUCUACGGAUGUAUUUACCUACAUGCACAAACAUGCAAAGAGGCAGUGUUGGUUAGUUGAAUGGGUUUCCGGCUGGAUUUAUUUCCCGUCUACUGUCUUCUCAAGAGGAAAUCUAAGGCAAAUCUCUUCAACAACCUGAAACUUGGUUUUCAUCAUCAGCAAAAUAAGG
rnacentral:lncRNA from 1 species